UUUUAGAGGAAACGUUUUUUUUUUUCAUAUCAGUACUUUUCUUUCAGUUUUUGGAAGUUACAAGCAGCCCUUAAAUGCAGCAGUGUGAUUUCACAGAUACAGUCCAGUAGAGGGAGCUAAAUAUCCAUUUAUCGGCCUCAUGUCGUGUUGGUGUGUGAAAGCAUCUUUAGUAUGAGAAAACUUGUAAACUUUAAGUGUGUGCGCUUUAAUCUAGGCCUAUUAUUAACGCCACAGACAAAGCGAAAAAACUCUGAGCGUAUGCACAUGCGCGUACGGACGUGCACACGCGCUACCAAUUGUUCCGACGGGCCAGCAGUUUCCACCCAGGCUUUGUUUUCUGCGCAGGUGCCCAAAAUGAUUGUUGGAAAAUGUGAAAUUUGAUCAGCAGACCAAAACAUCAUUAAGUCCCCGCUGUUCCCGGUGAUUACAGGUCAGCGCCGUUUCCGCGUUUCCCUCUCACUCCCUCCUCUGCACGCGCUCGAGCACGCUGCACACACCUGCGCGCGGCUCCGCCCACCUGAAGUUCUCUCCCAACUAAUUUUAUUUAUCAAUAAUUAGCAGCGCAGCGCUCGGUUAUUUGAAAUUGCGCUCAGACACGGAAACCUUUCCGGGAUGUAUCAUAGUAAUUAUGUGUGUCAGCUGAGAAUGCUUUUUACAUCUGCGAGUCGAAUGGAGCUGAAUAUUAACGAGUCCGCGCUGGAUGGGAUUAAUUGCUGGAGAAUGUACCGAUAAACACACAAGCGAAGAAGAGUUAGAGUCCAGGGCGAUGCGGUAAUGAAGAGAUUUAACCAGGAUAGAGUGAGGAAGGAGGGAGAGGAUUGAGGCGGAAGGAAGGUAGGAAAGAGGAAAACAAACGUGGAGAGACAAAAAAAGACAAAAAUGGUUUAAAGAUUUAAGAAUUCAAAACUCACAAAUGAAAGACAGACCACAACACAGACUGUCAGAACUGAGGCACAAAUGUUUCUAUUCAACUUCAAUGAGUGAAACUUUGCACCCAGAGCCUAAAAACACAAAAAUGACAAACACAGACAUCAAAUAUUCAAUAUUAAUUAUAUUGAAAAUUACAUUAUUGAAACACUGCAUGGUUAGUUAUGAGGCAUGUCAUCUGCCAAGUUCAGAAACACACUGAAGAAAACACUGCAGUCUUAUAGGGGGUUGUUACAUGCCCCCCAAAACUCACGCCCCAAAUCUGAGCGGGGUGUAAAACUAGCUUUACAUAUACAAAAUAAUUUAACCUUCUUUAUCGUUACUAUUUGUGUUGUUUAUAGUGUAAAUACUUGUAUAUUAUCUCUAUAUUUUUACUUAUUUUACUCAUUUGAUCUAUUUAUCUCUAUAUUUUUACUUAUUUUUUCUAUUUUGUCUUUUAUUUUAUCUAUUAUUUGUCUCUUCUUUACUGUAUUUGCACUGGAGUACUGUAACGAAAGCAAUUUCCCCCUGGGGAUUAUUAAAGUAUUUCUGAUUCUGAUACUGAUGAUUCUUAAGAAAAAAACUAUCAAAAACAACCCUCGGGAUCUUUCAAAGCAAAAGUUUUUUUUUUUUUUUUAACUGAAACCAAAGAUCACUUUUUAUUCUGGAUUAUUGUUUACAUGAAUUUGAACAGAUUGCUUUCCAAAACGAUGAAAGAUUAUCUUUAACUGACUGUAAUUAGGUGAAAAAGUUAAAUUACAUAUAACAAAAUUUAAGGAAUAAACUGCCAACCCAUGAAUAAUUAUCUACUAACUGUUAAGAAGUCCUUGUUUAGAUUUUGUUAGACAUAAAAUCAUGAAGUGACUGAACAAACGUCACAAUAGACUUUGAGGUGUGGCACAGAGACGGGGAUCUGGAUGACUGGUUUUGGUCUGCAGGCUUUGACCCUCAGUUCACUAGAUCCAGAAUUAUCUGAUUGGGAUUCAGAGGGACGGAGACUCUGUGUGAGCUCCUCACUCAGCUCAUUCCUCUGUUGUGCCACUGAAAGGCACUGUUGUCCACAGCUCAGCACAGCUCCUGCGUUCCCACGUCCACUGUCAGAGAUGAAGAUGUCGUGUUGAGCGAACCCUCCAGAGAGUGUUUGAGGCAGGUCAAAGCUAGAUCACAGGUUAAACAUGGAGUCUGGACCAUCAAUAAUGAUGAGACAGCUUUAGCAAUGAGACAUGUCACUCCAGGAAGCUGAAUUUAACAUUUUCCAGUGUUGGAAUAAUUUUUGAAAGCUGACUUUCAAUUUGUGGAAAUGAAAAUUUGUCACAUUUAUUGUUUUCCAUGCAGUGAUUUCAGAUUUUAAGAGGGGAGAAUAAAGCUGACAGUCACAGUACAAAGAAAAGAAGUGCUUUAAACGUGUUGAAUAACUUACCUUAAAACCCCGAAGUACUUGACUUCUAUGAUUUUAUUCAGAUGUUAAAUUUUCAAAUGUUAAUUUUUGAUAUAGAAUGCUCUCUAAAAUUCCUCCAUUUGAACAGAAAGCGGCGUCAAUCUUUAAAUCUAGUGUGACAAACUCAAAUGAAAGUGCCGUUUUAUUACACGUCAUGGGUCUAAAAAUUCCAAAUUUAAGAGUCUAAUUAAAAUAUAAUAAUGACUGAGUGAAAAAAUAGGUAAUUUUGGAGUCUGAUUAUGUUCAUUUUAUUGUUUUUAAUAUAAAUUUCAUGAAGACUGACGGUCUUUAAAUACAGUUUCUUUCUUAAGCUGGUCACUCUGUGUAAAAACUCAUGUAUUCGUUUUAGGAACACAAAAAUACAAAGUAAGAUUAAACAUUUCAAACUUUACAUAAAAGAAAGUUUAUUUAUACAUUUUCUUGCAUUUCUUUAAUUCCAACUCAAACUCAUUUUUCUUGUUGGAAUAUUCAGGAGUGAAGCAGUAAUCGUCUGAGAACAGCAGCUUUUUCUUUUACAGCCUGUUUGUCUUUCUUUAUGAUGUGCUUUCUAAAAUAACUUGGUCAACUUUCCUCCGCGAAAGGAUGGCAUGUUAAACCUGGGAAAAUGUUGUUUUUGUAAAUAUGAAUUUAAUCUGGGCUACAGGUAUUGGAUUUUGUGUGUGCUGGCAGGGAGCCACGCACAAUAGCAGGCACAGGUGUUGACCAGAAAAAAAAAAAGAGGAGAGAGAGAAAAGGGAAAUGCAGAAAGUGAUUUGAAUUAUCAUCGUGGAAUUCAUUUGGUGUCUGCAAGAGAGACAGAGAAAAAGAGAGAGAGCUUUAAAUAGAGGCACAAAGUUUUAUGUAAAAUUGGUGCAAAGAUAUUUCCAAAAUUUCUCUGUCUGUUUCUCUUUGUGUUUUUUCCCCCCUCUUUUAAAAAGCUGGGCCCGGUUGAUCAAGAGUACAGAUAUCUUUGACUUAAGCGCGGCGUAAUGAGAGAAAUUAGCACAAAUGCUCUAAGUAAUAGUUCCUGAUUUUUUUCUCACUCACAAAUUAUUUCUCAACUUGUUUUUGUAUCUGUGCAUAAAUUAAAAAAUCUGCUUAAAUUUAUUAUUCAUCUGAGAUGUGAUUAAUAUGCAAAAUUAUGCAAAUUAAGAUGCAAUUAGGCUCCAAUUCUCUAGUGGAAUUUUCCAUUAUAAUUUAAUACAAAGUAACAGAGUAAUUGGUGUCACGUGUAAUUACGGUUACUCAAGUGCACUUUCAGGCAUGCAAAUGAUUCGCUAUAUGUUGGUUAUCCUAUGCAAAUGCACCAUGUGGUGUUUUAACAAGUUGAGGAAAACACAAUGGGUGCGUGGUUACCCAGUGGGGCUGGAACAAGGUAAAGACACCGGGUUUCUUCUUUUAAAUGAGAGGAGUUGGAAAACUUUCAGGGCUCAGAUUAUCACCAGCUGAGACUUCCAGUUACUUUCUCUCUUUUUUGAAUUUUAAUGAACCAGAAGAGAUGCAGACUUUCAUCCAUCACCAAUCAAUUAAUGAGAGAAAACUGUUUUUGGAUGCGACUUGUGGCUCGUGCGUGAGGGAAAGUAGGCGGUUUGAAACACGAAACUGUUGCUUCAGUUGACAAUUCACGAGAAGAGAAGUCUCACACUCCAACACCUCCACCCUCCUCAGCCCCCCCACCACCACCAUUCAGACAGAAGAGCUUUCUGCAUCUUCAUUACCACUGUUGCCCUGUUUGAUCAAUGACACUGCAAAUGUCACAAGCAAUCACAAAACAUUAUGCGGCGGGGACAAUUACGCCUCAGCUCUGUGUGACAAACUUUGCAGUCGGUGGCGUCCACGCGGAGAGAGAAGAAAAGCGAUUAUGUAAUUGAUAUCUAUUUGGAUAGAAUGAAAGUCCUGUAAACGCUCGGAGGGAGAAAUGUCUCGCAGAGCAAUUCCUUCUUGGGAGGCAAAUUGAUUUUAAAUUGUUACAUGGCUGGUUACAUGUCCUGACAUCUUGCUUUGCCUGCUCUCGCUCUCUCCGACACACACACACACACACACACACACAGAUACACUCACACUCGUGCAGACACACACCCUCUGCUAUCUGUCUUGUUCAUGAUCAACGCUCUGAACAAAGACAUCCUCCCCUCCCCUCCUCCUGCUCUCCCCCCCUCUCUCCUCACCCAUCUUCUCCCUCUCUCUCUACGCCUCCACUCUGUGUGCCUGCCUGCUCGCACAACUCUCUCAAAGAACAUAAUCCCUCAACAAAAUGGAAACACAAAGGAAACUUGAGCUCAAUCCUAUAAACGCGCGGACACAGCAGACAAUGCCUCCUCCCACCCGUUUCCCCCCUAUCCCAGUCCCCCUGCCUCCCCAACAGCCGUAAAUGCCCUGUGGCACAGAUCAGGCUUUAUCAAACCCUCCCUCCCUUCCUCCUCCUCCUACAUCCAUCCAUCCCACCCCGAUUAGCACCCUACCACCACCACCGCCUCCUCUACCCCGCCCGUCCCGCUCCCAGCAUCUCCCAUACCUCCACAUGGAGCGUUUGGAGCUUGUUUGAAGGUUUGGCUGCUGUUUCCGUCGGUUACUUCGAGGCGAGUUGUGCGUCUACGUCUCCCUCUGUUGAUGUAUGCAGAAGUGACGCCCGAGUACCUGUAGGUGUUUGUCAGAAAGUUUGACUAGAACAACAUUUAUUUGUGUGUUGAUCCUGUUCAAAACAGAACAUGUGCCUUCUUCUCGCAGCUUCUCUUUGGUGUGGAAUAAAUCUCUGAUGCUCCAGUUACUUGUCAAUCAUUUUCCAACACCUUUACAUCACUUUCUCAAUUUUUUCUUCGCAGAUGAUGUUCUUGUAUCCGUAGGUGUUGCUCAGCCGCGACGCUAACUAAAAAGUCCUCGUAAUUAAAAUGACAUUGUUUGUCGAUGCCCUCGAGAUCUACACAUGGGGGUGUUUUCUGAUCUGACACCCAAAUCUGAAAUGAGUGUUUGAUUUGUUCGCGUUUACCAAAGCUUUCCACAAUUACGGCUGAAAAAUCUGUUUUCACGACAUAGUGGUGCUGAAAGUACGACUGCAGUUUUGCUUUUUUUAGUGGCAGUAAAAUUUCUCAGCUUGAUGUAUAUACAGAUGUUGGUUCAGGUUAAAAAGAUAAUUUUGUUGACAGACAGACUAAAAUUUUAUACAGAUGUUUCAUUUUGACCCACAAAGAGACCAUUGAGGAGGAGACAUGUAGUUAUUUGUGACGUCCAGGUAGCUGUUUGAAAAGUCAUGUCCUUUCUUUUAAAUCUUUUUUUUUUUCAAAUCUCCGAUCCUGUGAUUUUAAAACUUUUUCUGUGAUCUAUUAUUCGCCCUCUCCUGGUAUAAUAAUAAAGAAAAUCAUGACUUUCUUGGAAACAUUCAUUUAAACCUAACAACCCCAAGCGAACCUUAACAGGCCGGUCGCCAGUCAUCUCGGCACAAACGUAACAACUGCCAUGAGAAACUAAGUUCCCCAAACUUUCACUUUUGCUGUCCACAAAGAGCAUCUCAAAGAUCUCCACCUUUGAAUGUGUACCUUUACGUCCUUUCGGUGCCAUUUUUGAGACAGGCAAACAUUGCUGUUGUUUUCUUAUACUCAGAUUUUCCAUAAAGGUAGAGACGCACAGGUUUGUGUCAGUUUGACGUCACUCUCUGGAGGAAACAAACAACAGAGCAAAAUGUAACACCCACGAAAGGACGUAAGUGUCCGUUAUUAUGACCCACUAAAAGAAACUGUAUUGCGGCGAGGACAGGAAAGUGCACAAACAGCCAGUAAGGAGUCAUGGCUCGCCAAAAUAAAAAGUCCUGGUACGACAAGAAGUUCAGUUUAAAAGUGUUGGAAUAAAAGUGGCAAACACCAAUUUUGGACCUCAUAUUUCCCUGUUAUGCCAAAUGGUGGUAUCACUGAGACUUCAUCCAGGUUCUCAACAAUUAAUGCUCACCAAACACCUGUAAAAGUGGCGAGCUGAAACACACACUGAAACAGAAGAUAAUUUUGACUCACUCCACAGUUUGUUUUUGAAAGUCUGUCGGCAAAAAAGGGAACAAAAAAACAAUCAUAUUUAUCUUUAAAUCAAAUCAGUGUCCUUCAAAUGAUCAGAUUUCAUUGUCAUAUGUGUAAACAUGCGUCCUAUUAUGUGAAAUAACAAAGAUGCAAACAGGAAAGAUGUGAGGUGUAAAUAACUUGUGGUUUUGUAAUGUAGGUCAGUGUCAGUUUCCACAUCUGAAUUAACUGUCUUGUGCCCGUCUGUUAAUAGAGCUCAUCCAGACCAGCACCUGAGUGCCAGCUGAUGCCCUGUGUCCUCCUCCUUGGAGAGGUUUCUGCUGCUGCGGGGCCCCCAGAAGGUGACAGAGAGGUGAGUGAGGUUUGAUCUACUCUAAUCUGGUUGUCAGUGGGAGGAGGGGACGGUGUCGGGAGCUGUUUGGCAUCAGUACCGGGACUCUCUGUGACUGUGUGGUCUUCGGAGAACCACUUACCGCCCCCGUGCUCUCCUCCAGUUCCAGCCUCUGGAAGGUGAGGCGGGCUCUCUCCUCCCUCAAACCCCCCCCCUCCUUUCAAACAUGCUGAUUAAAUCAACCCUACUACGCAGGGCGAAGCGCGAUAACAGAUGCAAAGUAGGGCGCCUUCACUCGCUGUCACAGGAAGAGGAAGUGCCCUGGUGUACCUUAACCUGUGCUUGCUGCCUCGCUGCCGCUGCCGCUACAAUGGUUGCACAGCUGGAGACGAGACAGCGAGCGUGUUAGAUCAGAGAGCAGCGAGGCUCACGUGUUGCGUUUCCUGCUUGUGCGAAUGUGACGAGUGACCAUCUGAGGCCUCAGAACAAAAGAAAUAGACAAGAUGGCUCGUUUUUGUCUUAACUGUAAUUACCUACACGCUUUGAAGUACAGAUAUGAAAAAACUGUAAUUUACAUCCUGCUCUCUAUACAUUUAGAUCCAAAUUAUCUCUGCAAACAACACCUCAGAAGAAUAAAUAUCCAAACAACACGUAAUUUGAUCACAUAUUCAUUUUGAUCAAGAAAGAAAAACCCAGGUAAGUUGUUGCAAAAUGUCUCUUGCAUGUGUUUCAAUAAUUAAUCCAAAUCAAUUUAGCAACUAAAGUAGUGGGAAGAAAAACAGGUUGGGUUUAUUUUAUAUAUUUCCCUAUGCUAAACACGCCAAUGAGCAAAUCCCACAAACAUCAGAGAUCUGGAUGGCGAGUCCUUCUCUAUAAAUUCUAUAAAUGUCUGGUCUCUUUUCAUGGAUUACUGUCAUUUGCCAUCCGCUAUUGUGAGCGCCUGCCAGACUGGCUUGCCAUUUCUGGGCCUGUGUUUCCAACCUUGAUAUAUUUGCCAAAUGAAUAUUUGAAGCUGUAAUUAAAUUUAUCCCACCUCUACACCUUCUGUAAGACGGCCACCUUGCACAUUUCUCACAUGCCAUAUUUCAGCUAUUUUUUGUGUGAAAAAAAAAAAAAAAACACAGCUCGUUGCCAUUUUUUAAUGAUUUGGAAUGAGGGUAUUUUUACAGGAUAAAUCUGAUUUCAGGACAUUCAUAAUGGUCCUGCUUGCAUAUUCACAUGUAAAUACACAUCGUGUGGUGAGGAGCCUUCAAAGCUGUCACUCGCUGCCUAAACAAACUUCAUAAAAUGUCUGUAAAUAUGAUUAAAAAAAACAGGAGAUGACAUUUUAGCAGAUUAUAAGGCAUUAGUAAAAAUCAGGCACAGCUCCAUAUCUCAAAAACAGCCAAGCACAUUACGUUAAUGUGUCCACAUACAGAAAUAAACCAUUCCCAUUAGCAUAUUAACAUACCCACAGUCUCACUUUUAAAGGAGAAACCCCCCAAAAAAGUCUGAUGUAUGCAGAAGAUUUUUCUUCAGACGACAGGAGAGGUAAUGAUUUAUUAAAAGACUAAACAGCAAGAUGCUUACACCAUUGUUCGUCCUGAGACACGAGGCCUUGAUGCAUGCAAGAAACAAAACAUUUGAUUAAUUCAUGACGAGGAACAAUGUCGCCUCAACUCUUUGUUUUUUUGUAGCCGACCAGUAUUUACCUCAGACAGACGCAGAUCCAUGGACAAUCAGUCAGAGAAAAGACACAGAAACACAGUUUUAAAGCUUUUCUUUUUAACUGUUACAUCAUUGUUGUUGUUGUCUAAAAUUCAUCACCUCAGACUGUGUCCAAAGUCACAAAUAAUUACCUCAGACAUGUCUCUGAUAAAACUAGAUCUCCAGUUUUCUGUGGACAAAUCAGCUUCAGUGACAGUGCACCCCAACAGUCAGCAUACAACAUUUAAUAUUUCAGCAAUGUACAGAACAUGGAAACACAAUGGCCAAUAAUGUUCAACAAUCACUGAAAUGAAGUACGAUGAUUUAAUUAGUGAGUAAAUCUGGACCAAACUUAAAUCUAGACAAAGCCAUACUCACAUUUUCAGAUUAUUUUAACGCAGAUCUUCAUACUUAUCAUUUGAAUUAUGUGCAUCCUAGAUCCCUGAGAGAAAGUUCAACAAGAAGUCUAACUUUUCUGUUUCUAUGAGCAGAAGUAGGGGGUGAAUUCUACACAUGCGUAGGAACUGUAGGUUUGACAGUUUGUCCCGAAGUGAUGAUGAAAUCAGACUUUCGCUUCAUUUUCAUUAAGAUCUAAAAAGUCACAGUGAUGGUACUAUCGCAGUAUAUAUGGAAGACUUGAAAAAACACACUAAGUCAGAAAAACAGAAAGAAAGAGUGAAAGAGCGACAUAUUACUUUAUAAACUCUACUAAGUGGCUUGCAGAUAUAUCAUCAUUCAUGUCUCAUCUUGCUAGAAGUCAUGUUUUAUCCCCGUGUCAGAAACCUCCGAUGAAACGAAAACUCUCC